AUUGAACGCUGGCGGCAUGCCUUACACAUGCAAGUCGAACGGCAGCACGGGAGCAAUCCUGGUGGCGAGUGGCGAACGGGUGAGUAAUAUAUCGGAACGUGCCCAGUAGUGGGGGAUAGCCCGGCGAAAGCCGGAUUAAUACCGCAUACGACCUGUGGGUGAAAGCGGGGGAUCGCAAGACCUCGCGCUAUUGGAGCGGCCGAUAUCAGAUUAGCUUGUUGGUGGGUAAAAGCCCACCAAGGCGACGAUCUGUAGCUGGUCUGAGAGGACGACCAGCCACACUGGGACUGAGACACGGCCCAGACUCCUACGGGAGGCAGCAGUGGGGAAUUUUGGACAAUGGGCGCAAGCCUGAUCCAGCCAUGCCGCGUGUGGGAAGAAGGCCUCGGUUGUAA
rnacentral:rRNA from 1 species